rnacentral:rRNA from 1 species
AUACGGAGGGUCCAAGCGUUAUCCGGAAUCAUUGGGUUUAAAGGGUCCGUAGGCGGGCAAUUAAGUCAGAGGUGAAGUCCCACAGCUCAACUGUGGAACUGCCUUUGAUACUGGUUGUCUUGAAUUAUAGUGAAGUAGAUAGAAUAUGUAGUGUAGCGGUGAAAUGCAUAGAUAUUACAUAGAAUACCGAUUGCGAAGGCAGUCUACUAACUGUAUAUUGACGCUGAUGGACGAAAGCGUGGGGAGCGAACAGGAUUAGAAACCCUAGUAGUCC